GCUGAGCAGGGCAGAUGUGCAAUUACUGGAAAUCCUUUUAAUGGCAGAGGAGUUCAAAGCUGGUAUACUUGCCAAAUUUCCUCUCUUGCAGAGCUUCAAAGCAAGAAUAAGCAAUAUCCCCACAAUAAAGAAAUUCCUGCAGCCUGGCAGCCGAAGGAAACCACCAUCAGAUGAGGAAGCUGUGGACACAGUGAUCAAAAUUUUCUUCUCCUGAACAGCACACUAAAGCUGCAGAAACUUUUUCAUUGUAUUUGUAGACUGUAGCAAAGUGAAAUUACUUAAAGGAGUGGAAAUGUCAAACCAAUGAAGAGUGAAGAAAUGGUUCCUGAUCUCUCCUUCCUUAGCUAUAGAGGAAUGGCUAGAUAGCAAAGGUCACGUUCCCAUGCAGCAGUUAGCUGGGAAAGAAUUAGACAAUGGAGUACAGUCGGUGUGAGGUGUUGCACAGUCAGGAAGACCUUAGUGAUAUCUGUUAACUGAGAACAGGAUGCUGUGAUCAGAAGAAUGUGAAUUCAGCAUAGAUGAGUGACCACAGGAAUGUGAAACUAGGUGGAGUUGACCUUAAAUGAAAUAUCCAAUAAUGAGCUUGCUUUUGCACUAUGUAUGAGCCUAAUUAUUGAUGCUAUAUAAGUGAUUUUAGAGUUACCAAUAAAUGAGACUUGCUGAUCAUU